rnacentral:tRNA from 2 species
GCACCCGUAGCUCAGCUGGAUAGAGCACCAGACUACGAAUCUGGGGGCCGGAGGUUCGAAUCCUUCCGGGUGCGCCA